rnacentral:tRNA from 1 species
GGUGGCGUAGCUCAGCUGGAUAGAGCAUCUGCCUUCUAAGCAGACGGUCGCAGGUUCGAAUCCUGCCGCCAUCACCA